rnacentral:tRNA from 1 species
CAGAGCAUAGCUAAAUACCCUAAAGCGCCUCCCUUACACUGAGCCAUCAUCCGUGCAAAUCGGAUUGUUCUGA